rnacentral:rRNA from 1 species
GACGAACGCUGGCGGCGUGCUUAACACAUGCAAGUCGAACGGAAAGGCCCUGCUUUUGUGGGGUGCUCGAGUGGCGAACGGGUGAGUAACACGUGAGUAACCUGCCCUUGACUUUGGGAUAACUUCAGGAAACUGGGGCUAAUACCGGAUAGGAGCUCCUGCUGCAUGGUGGGGGUUGGAAAGUUUCGGCGGUUGGGGAUGGACUCGCGGCUUAUCAGCUUGUUGGUGGGGUAGUGGCUUACCAAGGCUUUGACGGGUAGCCGGCCUGAGAGGGUGACCGGCCACAUUGGGACUGAGAUACGGCCCAGACUCCUACGGGAGGCAGCAGUGGGGAAUAUUGCACAAUGGGCGGAAGCCUGAUGCAGCAACGCCGCGUGCGGGAUGACGGCCUUCGGGUUGUAAACCGCUUUCGCCUGUGACGAAGCGUGAGUGACGGUAAUGGGUAAAGAAGCACCGGCUAACUACGUGCCAGCAGCCGCGGUGAUACGUAGGGUGCGAGCGUUGUCCGGAUUUAUUGGGCGUAAAGGGCUCGUAGGUGGUUGAUCGCGUCGGAAGUGUAAUCUUGGGGCUUAACCCUGAGCGUGCUUUCGAUACGGGUUGACUUGAGGAAGGUAGGGGAGAAUGGAAUUCCUGGUGGAGCGGUGGAAUGCGCAGAUAUCAGGAGGAACACCAGUGGCGAAGGCGGUUCUCUGGGCCUUUCCUGACGCUGAGGAGCGAAAGCGUGGGGAGCGAACAGGCUUAGAUACCCUGGUAGUCCACGCUGUAAACGGUGGGUACUAGGUGUGGGGUCCAUUCCACGGGUUCCGUGCCGUAGCUAACGCUUUAAGUACCCCGCCUGGGGAGUACGGCCGCAAGGCUAAAACUCAAAGGAAUUGACGGGGGCCCCCGCACAAGCGGCGGAGCAUGCGGAUUAAUUCGAUGCAACGCGUAGAACCUUACCUGGGUUUGACAUGGAUCGGGAGUGCUCAGAGAUGGGUGUGCCUCUUUUGGGGUCGGUUCACAGGUGGUGCAUGGCUGUCGUCAGCUCGUGUCGUGAGAUGUUGGGUUAAGUCCCGCAACGAGCGCAACCCUUGUUCACUGUUGCCAGCACGUUAUGGUGGGGACUCAGUGGAGACCGCCGGGGUCAACUCGGAGGAAGGUGGGGAUGACGUCAAGUCAUCAUGCCCCUUAUGUCCAGGGCUUCACGCAUGCUACAAUGGCUGGUACAGAGAGUGGCGAGCCUGUGAGGGUGAGCGAAUCUCGGAAAGCCGGUCUCAGUUCGGAUUGGGGUCUGCAACUCGACCUCAUGAAGUCGGAGUCGCUAGUAAUCGCAGAUCAGCAACGCUGCGGUGAAUACGUUCCCGGGGCUUGUACACACCGCCCGUCAAGUCAUGAAAGUUGGUAACACCCGAAGCCGGUGGCCUAACCGUUGUGGGGGAGCCGUCGAAGGUGGGACUGGUG